AAUUCUUUCUUAUCGUGAACUUGAUGAAGAAGAAUACAAGGAGUUUGAUGGUAAAUUGUCUGAAGUAAAAAAUUAAGUCUCAGAAGACCGGGAAACACUGAUUGAAGAAUUAUUGGAUACGAUUGAGAGGAAUCUAAUCCUUCUUGGUGCCACUGCUGUAGAGGACAAGCUCCAAAAUGGGGUUCCUGAUUGUAUCGACAAGCUAGCCCAAGCUAAGAUUAAGAUUUGGGUUUUGACUGGAGAUAAAAUGGAGACUGCCAUCAAUAUUGGUUUCUCUUGUCGCUUGCUUAGACAAGGAAUGAAACAAAUUAUAAUUCAUUUGGAUAUUCCAGAAAUUCAAGCGUUAGAAAAGGUUGGAGACAAGAUGGCUGUUGUGAAGGUA